rnacentral:rRNA from 1 species
UACGAAGGGGGCUAGCGUUGUUCGGAAUUACUGGGCGUAAAGCGUACGUAGGCGGAUUUGUAAGUAGGGGGUGAAAUCCCCAGGCUCAACCUGGGAACUGCCUUCUAGACUGCAAGUCUCGAGAUCAGGAGAGGCGAGUGGAAUUCCGAGUGUAGAGGUGAAAUUCGUAGAGAUUCGGAGGAACACCAGUGGCGAAGGCGACUCGCUGGACUGAUACUGACGAUGAGGCACGAAAGAGUGGGGAGCGAACAGG